rnacentral:rRNA from 1 species
GUUUAAAGUGGUACGCGAGCUGGGUUUAGAACGUCGUGAGACAGUUCGGUCCCUAUCUGCCGUGGGCGUUGGAAGAUUGAAAGGGGCUGCUCCUAGUACGAGAGGACCGGAGUGGACGCACCACUGGUGUUCGGGUUGUCAUGCCAAUGGCAUUGCCCGGUAGCUAAGUGCGGAAGAGAUAACCGCUGAAAGCAUCUAAGCGGGAAACUUGCCUUGAGAUGAGUCUUCCCUGACCCUUUAAGGGUCCUAAAGGAACGUUUAAGACUAAGACGUUGAUAGGUUGGGUGUGUAAGCGUAGCGAUACGUUGAGCUAACCAAUACUAAUGAACCGUGAGGCUUAACCUG